rnacentral:lncRNA from 1 species
UCUUUUUUCUUGGUCAAUUUUAGAAGACCAUUUAUAUGUAUGCUGUUCAAAUUUUCUGUUUUGAUUUGAUUUUUUUUCCUGUGAUAGAAUCUUUGAAAUAUUGUUUUCUUUUUCCUCAUUAUAUGUUACAUUAAGGAUAGUUGAUUAGAAGCGGGAUUUUUGUUUGUUGUAGAAUAUAAAUUUGUAGGUCAAAGUUGUAAUUAGUAGGUUACAUUGUGAAUUUGUGUAGUUGAAAUGCUAAGUUGUAGGAGGUGUUGAGUAUUUGUGUAGUUGAAAUGCUAAGUUGUAGGAGGUGUUGAGUAUUUGUAGUAGGUCGAAGUUGUAAUUAGUAGGUUACAUUGUAAUUAGUAGGUUACAUUGUGAAUUUGUGUAGUUGAAAUGCUAAGUUGCGAGGAGUUUAGCAACUUAAAAAGCUAAUUGUAAGCUAUUGUGAUUGGGGAGGUAGUAGUAGGGGAAUCAGGUAUGAUUUUAAUCCUUCUGUUUUUUUCCACUUGUUAACUUUUAUAUAAACCUCUUGAGUAUUAUCUUCUAAACUUUC